AGAGUUUGAUCAUGGCUCAGGAUGAACGCUAGCGGCAAGCUUAAUACAUGCAAGUCGAGGGGCAGCAUGAGUGUAGCAAUACAUUUGAUGGCGACCGGCAAACGGGUGCGGAACACGUACAGAACCUUCCUUCGAGCGGGGAAUAGCCCAGAGAAAUUUGGAUUAAUACCCCAUAGCAUAUUGAUGAGGCAUCUCAUUAAUAUUAAAGAUUUAUCACUUGAAGAUGGCUGUGCGGCUGAUUAGAUAGUUGGCGGGGUAACGGCCCACCAAGUCUGCGAUCAGUAACUGGUGUGAGAGCACGACCAGUCACACGGGCACUGAGACACGGGCCCGACUCCUACGGGAGGCAGCAGUAAGGAAUAUUGGUCAAUGGACGCAAGUCUGAACCAGCUAUGCCGCGUGGAGGAUGAAGGCCCUCUGGGUUGUAAACUUCUUUUAUCUGGGACGAAAAAAGGCUUUUCUAAGUCGUCUGACGGUACCAGAUGAAUAAGCACCGGCUAACUCCGUGCCAGCAGCCGCGGUAAUACGGAGGGUGCAAGCGUUAUCCGGAUUCACUGGGUUUAAAGGGUGCGUAGGUGGGUUGGUAAGUCAGUGGUGAAAUCUCCGAGCUUAACUUGGAAACUGCCAUUGAUACUAUCAGUCUUGAAUAUUGUGGAGGUUAGCGGAAUAUGUCAUGUAGCGGUGAAAUGCUUAGAGAUGACAUAGAACACCCAUUGCGAAGGCAGCUGGCUACACAAAU
rnacentral:rRNA from 1 species